UACGUAGGAUCCUAGCGUUGUCCGGAUUUACUGGGUGUAAAGGGUGCGCAGGCGGACUGGUGAGUCAGGGGUGAAAUCUCGCCGCUUAACGGCGAAACUGCCUUUGAUACUAUCAGUCUUGAGUUUGGUAGAGAUCCGUGGAAUUCCGAGUGUAGCAGUGAAAUGUGUAGAUAUUCGGAAGAACACCAGCGGCGAAGGCAGCGGAUUGGGCCAAUACUGACGCUCAGGCACGAAAGCAUGGGGAUCAAAC
rnacentral:rRNA from 1 species